GGGUCAGUAGGUUGGUCGUGCCACCGGUACGUACUGGUCUCACUGAUUCCUCCUUCCUGAAGAACCGUAAUGCCAUUAAUUUGGUGUUGCGGGGAAACAGGACUGUUACUUUGAAAAAAUUAGAGUGUUUAAAGCAAGCUAACGCUUGAAUACAUUAGCAUGGAAUAAUGAAAUAGGACGAUCGAUCCUAUUUUGUUGGUUUCUAGGAUUGACGUAAAGAUUAAUAGGGUUAGUUGGG
rnacentral:rRNA from 1 species